CCCUGUUUUUCUUCUUGCUCCAGCCGACACCCCAAACCACCAUAAUCACCUCCAGCCGCCACCACACCUCACCGGACCGGCCAAGGAAGCACCGCCACCACCUCCGCAACCCAGCCCAGCUUGCUCCGCCGUCCAGCCGCGACGAAUCUGCCAGAAAAAACCAGAAAAUCGCGUCAAUUUUGACAGAUUUUCAAAGCCUUCGUUCUCCCUCCUCCGGCCACCAAAUCGGACGAAUUAGGCACUCGGGCACCAGAUGACCCGUAGGAGGGACUUUCAAAGGGUCCAGCUAGCUCAGAGUAUCUGCAGUAAGCGUGCACAGUGAGCCACCACCGGGCCGAGUCCAUCUUCCACCACCUUCCUUGACAAAGUAGGGUCUUGUUUAAUUAUUUUAUACCUAUAAUGUAAUCUGUGUAGAGCUCUGAUAUUGCCCUAGAACACUUGUCUAACUGUU